UACGUAGGGUGCGAGCGUUAGUCGGAAUUACUGGGCGUAAAGUGUGCGCAGGCGGUUGAGCAAGUCGGGUGUGAAAGCCCCGGGCUUAACUUGGGAAUUGCGCUCGAAACUACUUGACUGGAGUGUGGCAGAGGAAGGUGGAAUUCCACGUGUAGCGGUGAAAUGCGUAGAGAUGUGGAGGAACACCAAUGGCGAAGGCAGCCUUCUGGGCCAACACUGACGCUCAUGCACGAAAGCGUGGGGAGCAAACAGG
rnacentral:rRNA from 1 species